CGGGGUGAGUAAUGUAUGGGGAUCUGCCUGAUGGCGGGGGAUAACUACUGGAAACGGUAGCUAAUACCGCAUAAUGCCUACGGACCAAAGCGGGGGACCUCCGGGCCUCGCGCCAUCAGAUGAACCCAUAUGGGAUUAGCUAGUAGGUGAGGUAACGGCUUACCUAGGCGACGAUCCCUAGCUGGUCUGAGAGGAUGAUCAGCCACACUGGGACUGAGACACGGCCCAG
rnacentral:rRNA from 1 species